ensembl:ncRNA C10H11.12 ncRNA
GCGAUUACGCAAAUCGUGAACAACAACAACAUCGCCGUUGUCUUCAGGAAUGCGAACAACCGUAGUUGUUUCGGAGUAUUCGGAAGAAUAAGAGGGUGUACUGGAGACAAAGCGAACGAACGUACAUCCAGAAGAAGUGGAAGGGACAGCGCAAGAAGAUAUGAAACUUGGCGAAAUAGUGCCUAAUGUGGCGGAUAUGUUCGACGUAAUAGUGCAUUGAUGAGGUGAGACACAGGCAACGAACAUGAAUCUGCGCGAACGAGAGGAGGUUGUUUAACAUUUCGAAUAAUACACAUUUCAAUCGUUUCUCUUUUCCCAAAAUUUGUUGGAAUUAAGACAGCGAAACGGGGGGGGGGGGAUGAAACGUCCAUCAGGCAAAAAAGGAGCGGAGAAGAUCGCAAGUUCAGAGCAUCAGAAAUGGGUGAUUGGGGCCGAGACAC